rnacentral:tRNA from 1 species
AGCAAUGUGGCCUAGUGGAAAGAGCAUGGUUCUGGGAAUCAGAGGACCUGGGUUCUAAUCCCAGCUCUGCCA